ensembl:lncRNA
UCAGGGACUGGAAGAGACCUUGAUUGAUCAUCUAGUCCAAUCCCCCUGCUAGAGCAGGAACACCUACAUUGGGUCACACAGGAACAUGUCCAGUGAGUGGGAAAGAUAUAUCUAGUUGUUUGAAGUCAAGACCAUAACAAAGAAUGCAAUGUGAAAUCCUACAGAAGUGAUUUGCACCACAUUUUGUGUUUGAGAGCCACGGUCUGAGGAGAAGCGGUGAGAAAUCAGAGCAAAGCGCUGACCUGGAUGGAGGGAAAAGAGCUGUCAAGUGAUUAGGAGAGAGAGAUAUAAAAAAAGGAAGAAACAUUUGGACAAAACAUGAAAAUCUGCAACAUAUUUAAGCCCUGGAACGUGGAGAUUUCAUAGGUAACAUGGGUGAAAUGAUUUACUUACAUGUUUUACAAA